AUGAACUUCACUAAGUUUAAUUUUGCUGGCAUUAGUUCAUUCUUCAAGAAAUUUUUUUCUAAAAGAUUGUCCUGUUGCUGACGAACAUCUUUUAUUCUUUAAUGAGGCAGAAGUAGUACCCUUUAAUUUUUUUAGGGUACAUUAUGAACAAGCAUUUAUUGGACUUUGAUCCAAGCUUAUCUAUCUUUAAAUACUUGGCAUAAG
rnacentral:lncRNA from 1 species